rnacentral:rRNA from 1 species
UACGAAGGUCCCAAGCGUUGUUCGGAAUUACUGGGCGUAAAGGGCUCGUAGGCGGCCAACUAAGUCACACGUGAAAUCCCCAGGCUUAACCUGGGAACUGCGUGUGAUACUGGAUGGCUUGAAUUCGGGAGAGGGAUGCAGAAUUCCAGGUGUAGCGGUGAAAUGCGUAGAUAUCUGGAGGAAUACCGGUGGCGAAGGCGGCAUCCUGGACCGACAUUGACGCUGAGGAGCGAAAGCUAGGGGAGCAAACGGG